rnacentral:rRNA from 1 species
GCCCAGACUCCUACGGGAGGCAGCAGUGGGGAAUAUUGCACAAUGGGGGAAACCCUGAUGCAGCGACGCCGCGUGAGUGAAGAAGUAUUUCGGUAUGUAAAGCUCUCUCACCAGGGAAGAAAAUGACGGUACCUGACUAAGAAGCCCCGGCUAACUACGUGCCAGCAGCCGCGGUAAUACGUAGGGGGCAAGCGUUAUCCGGAUUUACUGGGUGUAAAGGGAGCGUAGACGGCAUGGCAAGCCAGAUGUGAAAUACCGGGGCUCAACCCCGGGACUGCAUUUGGAACUGGUAAGCUGGAGUGUCGGAGAGGCAGGCGGAAUUCCUAGUGUAGCGGUGAAAUGCGUAGAUAUUAGGAGGAACACCAGUGGCGAAGGCGGCCUGCUGGGCUUUAACUGACGCUGAGGCUCGAAAGCGUGGGGAGCAAACAGGAUUAGAUACCCUAGUAA